UCUCUUAUAAAAUCAUACAGGAAACAUUAUCAAACAUAAAAUGAUGUUUGACUUUCUUUAUUCUAAAAACUAAUAAAAAUAGGUGCUAAAAAUUUUCCAAAUGAAAAUAAAUAUUGCUAAACCAAAGAGAAAUGUUAUCUAAGCCCCGUAUAAAAAAUAAAUAAAUCUUGUUCCAAUUGCAUCAAAAAACCCAUUAAGGGCCCUCCAGCACAGGGUUAAUACCAACGAGUUUCCACCUCCAGCUGCUCCUAGAGUGGCCACAGCAUGAGCCAUCUGGUGGGGGACCUAGCCGCCAACAGACACUUCCUGUACAGGGGAGGGGGGAGGGGGCCAGGCAGCCGUUAGACAGCACAACCGAACCCAACACCGGGGCCCAACGGCAGGGGCUUGGGCAGGAGCAAGGUCCGAGGGCUGCCAGGUCCACGCUGCUUUUAUGAGCUGUAACACUCACCGCGAAGAUCUGCAGCUUCACUCCUGAGCCCAGCGAGACCACGAGCCCACCGGGAGGAACAAACAACUCCAGACGCGCUGCCUUAAGAGCUGUAACACUUGCCGUGAAGGUCUGCAGCUUCACUCCUGAGCCAGCGAGACCACGAACCCACCAGAAGGAAGAAACUCCGAACACAUCUCAACAUCAGAACGGACAGACUCCAGACGCACCACCUUAAGAGCUGUAACACUCACCGCGAGGUUCCGCGGCUUCAUUCUUGAAGUCAGUAAGACCAAGAACCCACCAAUUCCGGACACAGUAGCAUUUGGGAAUAAUAAGAAUUGUAGCUGGGCAUGGUGGUACACGCCUGUAGACCCCUAGCAGCUGCCAUCAUCCUCACCAUCCGCAUAUUAUUGAUAUAUUAACUCUUUGAUGGCAACCAUAGCUUAUCCCCCUUAUCUCCCUAUGCCCUACAGCAGGGCAGUGGAAUGGUUAAGAGGCUUUGAAGUCUAAGAGUGCUGGCUUAAAACCCUAAUUUGUCAUUUUGGAUGUGUGGCUUUGGACACUUGGGGCAGGUCACCUAUGUUCUUCAAGCCCUGUAUCCUUAUCUGUCAGAUGAUGAUUUUUUUUUUUUUAGACGAAGUCUCACUCUCUUGCCCGGGCUGGAGUGCAGUGGCAUGAUCUCGGCUUACUGCAAGCUCCACCUCCCGGGUUGACGCCAUUCUCCUGCCUCAGCUUCCUGAGUAGCUGGGACUACAGGCUCCUGCCACCACCCGUGGCUAAUUUUUUUGUAUUUUUAGUAGAGACAGGGUUUCACCAUGUUAGCCAGGAUGGUCUCGAUCUCCUGACCUCGUGAUCUGCCCGCCCCAGCCUCCCAAAGUAUCAGAUGAUUUUAACAACUAUGCUUCCAUGACUUGCUGGGCUAGAUGAUAUGACUGUAAAAUGCCUAACCCAUGGUUUAGCAUCAAGUAAGCAAAUUGUAAAUGGUAGCACUGCUCUGCCUAUGACUAUUUAGUCUUGUGCUUUAAACUCAAAUAUUUGUUGGCCUACUGAAGUCACCACACAGAGAAAGAUGCUUUUCAUUCUCAGUAAAGAACUUUGGGAGAUAACUGGGGCAGGCAGCAAGAGAACAGAUGUCAUAUGUCUAGCAUCAGCAAACUCAUCAGAACUGAUGGGCAGCUCACUUUGCUUAGAACCUGCACCAGCAUACACACGGGGCUGCUUCCCAGUCACACUGCUCCUGGGAAGGUAGGGGGGCUGCUGUUCUGCAAUUAGCGCGGUUCUUUACCUCCUAUUACCGAACUGCCAGAGUUCAUUUGUGUUCAGUUAGGUAGAUGACCAAUUCUUGUUCAUUCCUAUUUUCUUUUGCUCACUAAUGUGUUUAACGUUCACUAACCUACCAAAUGUGAUUUAUUAGCGACUUUUUCUUUGAAGAUGGAGUGGAGGAAUCCUAGCGCUUUCUGCAACAUGCUACUGCUGUUAUGGAACAGUGCAGAUAUGGAAGUGCAUCAGCCGGGGAUGGGGAGAGGCUAGGGCAGUACAUGUGAAUGGAGAGGUAGCCCCACCAGUGUGUUUUCUGAAAUACAGUCCCGCAGAGGGCAGUCUUGGGAAAUUACUGUUCUCACACACUCUUCUUGACCCUACCCCUCCAGCACCUCCCUUGCUAUCCAAGGGUUGGGAUUUUUAAAAAGAAAAACAAAUUUUAAAAAAAGCAGUGUGAAUCUUUUGCCAUCUUGUAAGGGUGAAAAGCCCCCUACCAAGUCGGGAUGAACAUUCAUGCGUGUGCUUGAGGGCUUGGGAAAAAGACAGGGCUUGGCCCCACAGUGCAGGUAGGCCCAGUGAUCCUAUAAUAGGGGCCAGGAGAUGGGAGGUCCCCUGUGGGCAGGAGUUCAAGUAUGUGGUAUUAUAUGACUGGUGCUUGAUGAACCCAGGGAGAGGGCACCAAAAACAAUGGUAUUUAAUUGUAAAAUCUCCACCCCCUGAGGAUAUGUUUUCAGGUCUGGGUGACUAAUUAGACUGGGAAACAAGGGCAGGAACGAUGGCCCUGUGCUUGCUCUGCCCGCUGCCUCUGUGGAUGUGUGGGCUGCUGGCUUCAGUCCUGCUUUUCUUUCUGAUGGUAUUGUUUAUGCUAUGUGUUUUUGCAGGAGGCCUGAGGUGGGCUGGGUUCUCCUCCUAUGGCAGGGCUUCACUCUCCUCCUCCUUCUCUGUUGGGGCUUCACUGUCCCUGGGAUAAGAAUAACAAUGCCAAGGUUUUCAUUCUUGAAAGGAGCAAUUAAGCGUCUCACCCCCUCCUCAUUUUAGAUGGGAACUGUGAGGGUCCCGUCAUUUACCCAGGGUCCCUGUUGAGGAUCUUGUCCUCAUUAGAUGACUUCUUGUGCAGCUUCCAUGCGUGAUUCUUUACUCUUGUGGCACUGAGAGGUUUGUACAUGUCUUUAAGCCAGAGCGGCUUUCUGAAUGAAAAAAGUCCAUCCUAGAAGAUAGAAAGGGAAAUAUUAAUUUUGCAUGUCCUCUGCUUUCCCUGGUCACAGCAAUGAAUCCUCCAAUGUACCUGACUCUCCCUUUGCGAAGAGCAUCUCCGUGGCAGAAAUCUGAAAAUGCCCCUGGGGAGACACAUGCACAAGACAGUUCGUGAGCCACACAUCUCCCCACACCAAGCUCCUCCAUACAAGACCUCGGACUGCAUCACGUAAAUGCUUUUUCAGGGGCAAAAUCUAGAGAAUCUGAAACGAGCUAUCAGCUUCCCAGUUUGCACAAUUCAUCAAGAAAUUAUGCGGGGUCACUGGCACAAAUGAUGAGGCAUCUCCUGGAAGCUUAACUUCUUAUCCAUCCCAUCUCUUGGACAGAUGAUGCCAGUUAAUUACUUUGAAUAGAAGACUCACUGGUGGCACCUGCAGCUGCGGCGUUUUCCCCAAGCUGGUCUGUGGAGAAGCCUGGGACAGAAAGAAGCAGCCAGACUCCAGAAUCCCCCAUUUUAAUAGCUAUUCUAUGCUAUGUCCCCGUCUUAUUCCUGGCAACUUACCUCUCAGCUCGUGCACUGUGACAUUACAGCAAGAAGUACUAAUAUAAAUGACACAAAAGAAAAAAGAAACCAUGAGGUUUUGCUUGUUUUAUUAACUAGGUGGGCAUUGUAAAUGUGGAGGGUGGGAAACAAUCAGGAGACAGGAAUCCGAUGAGCAUCUGCCAUGUAUCAGGCACUGCGCAAUGUUCCUUACAUACCACGAUCCCAUUUAACCCUCAAAAAACACUGCAGAGGGCUAUCACUGCCUUCCUUUUACAUACGAAAAAACAGACUUAACAGUUGCUCACGGGAAGCUGAACCAAGAAUCAAAACAAAAGACUUUCGGGCCUCAAAGACUGCACUGUUUCCACUGCACAAAGUUGUCUGCACUGUGAGCAACAGAGGAGGGGAAAGGGGACUAAAAACCAAAACCAAAAAUCCAAUAAAUAAAACAAAAUAAAUGAACUGAGCAUUCAACACAAAAAGUUAUAAGGAGCAGAGGAAAACAUUUCCAAGGAAAACAGGAAGAAGCAAAGCUUAAGAAUAAAAGCGUGACUUACACAUUUACUUGGAUCCAGGGGAAACUGUUGGGGUGAGAUGUUAAAAACAGAGUUAGGAAGUGACUGGAGAACUUGUGUAUUACAUUCCACUUCCUAUGGACCUUGGGUCCUUCUCUGUAACACUAAUAUUGGACUAAAUUCUUCAAAGUUUCCUUGCAAGGACAGGCCACUCUGAAGCUAAGGGGUUACCACCAACCAAGAGACUCCUUCAGUAAUAACACAGUAGGUAAAUUACCCCAGAAGGUAAAUAUGACUGAUUGUCUUACAGUAGCAGGUUUUAAAAUCUUGUUGUCUCAAAAGCAUUGCUAUGGGCCAGGUGCAGUGGCUCACGCCUA
rnacentral:lncRNA from 1 species